rnacentral:lncRNA from 1 species
GGGAAGUCCUGAUGAGGAGUCUCUGCUGAUCUCCUCAUUAUCUGUCGAAACUUCUGACACUAUGUUGGAACUUCCGACAGGCCUCGAGGGUAUAAAUAUUCCCCUGCGCUGGCCCUCAUCCCUAAUGGCUCUUUUCUAUUCCAAACUAGCACCCCCUCCUCCCUACUCUCCAAUCCUUGGGAGAUGUUGAGUUUGGACCGUGAACCUCUCAACGGAUCAUCUCCAUUGGAUUCCUCAAGUCUUGGAACCUCCGAUCCAUCUUUUCAAACUCCCAAUCCACGCGGGGAAACUUCAAGGUAAAUCUUUUAAACUCCCCAUUGCCCGAUAUCAUAAUGUCAUAGGAGUUGGAGGCUUAUCUCUUAGGAAUCAUCUCUAGGUUGAUCUUAGAUGCUUCUCCCAAAAUAUCUCAAAGUUUGGAUGGAUGAAACUCAAGUUCCAUGGAAUUACUGUUCGUUCGGGCUCUGUUAGAACUUCCAAUAGAGUAUCGGAUCGGAGUUCAAAUACUAUUUUGGAAGUUCUGAGAAGAGUCUGUCAAGUCUUAAAUCCUUAUCAACC